UACGUAGGGGGGCAAGCGUUGUCCGGAUUUAUUGGGCGUAAAGAGCGUGUAGGCGGUUAGGUAGGUCCGUUGUGAAAACUCGAGGCUCAACCUCGAGACGCCGAUGGAAACCAUCUGACUAGAGUCCGGAAGAGGAGAGUGGAAUUCCUGGUGUAGCGGUGAAAAUGCGCAGAUAUCAGGAGGAACACCGGGUGGCGAAGGCGGAUCUCUGGGCCAUUACUGACGCUGAGGAGCGAAAGCGUGGGGAGCGAACAGG
rnacentral:rRNA from 1 species